GUUCAUUCGUUGGUUAGGUGAAUUUGAUAAAUCUUUGUGGAAUGAUCAAUUAUGGUGUGGUGUGCAGUGAUAGAAUUUUGAUUCUACAAAGGUAAACACAUGUGACAUGUCAUAUGCUAAACGAGCAAAGAAUAUUGGAGUGUAGAUAGUGCUUAGAUUGUUGAAUUUUGUUUGGAUUUAUUACCUAUAGAAUUGACGAAUUGUUUUUCACAACUUUAUAUUUCUAUUUCUACUUGUGAAAUUGUUUAUUGGUUGAGAAACACUUGAAAGUUUGCUUAUAAUAAAAAUGUACUUGAAAGUUACUUAAUAUCCACCUUUUUCUUGGUUGGAAAGCUGUAUAC
rnacentral:lncRNA from 1 species